rnacentral:rRNA from 1 species
GAUGAACGCUGGCGGCGUGCUUAACACAUGCAAGUCGAACGAAGCAUUUAGAACAGAUUACUUCGGUUUGAAGUUCUUUAUGACUGAGUGGCGGACGGGUGAGUAACGCGUGGGUAACCUGCCUUGUACUGGGGGAUAGCAGCUGGAAACGGCUGGUAAUACCGCAUAAGCGCACAAUGUUGCAUGACAUGGUGUGAAAAACUCCGGUGGUAUAAGAUGGACCCGCGUCUGAUUAGCUAGUUGGUGAGAUAACAGCCCACCAAGGCGACGAUCAGUAGCCGACCUGAGAGGGUGACCGGCCACAUUGGGACUGAGACACGGCCCAGACUCCUACGGGAGGCAGCAGUGGGGAAUAUUGCACAAGGGAGGAAACUCUGAUGCAGCGACGCCGCGUGAGUGAAGAAGUAAUUCGUUAUGUAAAGCUCUAUCAGCAGGGAAGAUAGUGACGGUACCUGACUAAGAAGCUCCGGCUAAAUACGUG